UACAGAGGGGGCAAGCGUUUGUUCGGAAUUACUGGGCGUAAAGGGCGCGUAGGUGGCCCGCUAAGUCGAACGUGAAAUCCCCGAGCUCAACUCGGGAACUGCGUCCGAUACUGGCGGGCUUGAAUCCGGGAGAGGGAUGCGGAAUUCCAGGUGUAGCGGUGAAAUGCGUAGAUAUCUGGAGGAACACCGGUGGCGAAGGCGGCAUCCUGGACCGGCAUUGACGCUGAGGCGCGAAAGCUAGGGUAGCGAACGGG
rnacentral:rRNA from 1 species